GGGGCUGUGGCUCAGUGGUAGAGUACCCGCCUCACAUGCGUGAGGCACUGGAUUCGAUCCUCAGCACCA
rnacentral:tRNA from 1 species